GCCAUAUGUGCACACAGAACACUUUAUAUACCCAUAAAUGUGAUGAACACAGUCUUCUAGGCUUAGGAUAACUGGUAGUCAGAUCAUAUUGUACUAAAGUCUUUAAGAUCUAGCAUGUAGUUCUUGGACUUCAGACUAAAAGAACACCCUGAAUUUACUAAACUGUGUAAUUUUUUGGGAGCAUUCUUAAAAUGAUUGUUCUUAAUUUUUUCUUUCCUUAAGUGUAAAAUUUUGAUAAUUUAUAAUUUCUUUAUUUAUCAUUUAGGGUGUGUUGAAGUGGUU
rnacentral:misc_RNA from 1 species